rnacentral:rRNA from 1 species
AGUGAACGCUGGCGGUAGACCUAACACAUGCAAGUCGAACGGCAGCACAGUAAGAGCUUGCUCUUGCGGGUGGCGAGUGGCGGACGGGUGAGGAAUACAUCGGAAUCUACUUUUUCGUGGGGGAUAACGUAGGGAAACUUACGCUAAUACCGCAUACGACCUACGGGUGAAAGCAGGGGAUCUUCGGACCUUGCGCGAUUGAAUGAGCCGAUGUCGGAUUAGCUAGUUGGCGGGGUAAAGGCCCACCAAGGCGACGAUCCGUAGCUGGUCUGAGAGGAUGAUCAGCCACACUGGAACUGAGACACGGUCCAGACUCCUACGGGAGGCAGCAGUGGGGAAUAUUGGACAAUGGGCGCAAGCCUGAUCCAGCCAUACCGCGUGGGUGAAGAAGGCCUUCGGGUUGUAAAGCCCUUUUGUUGGGAAAGAAAAGCAGCAGGUUAAUACCCCGCUGUUCUGACGGUACCCAAAGAAUAAGCACCGGCUAACUUCGUG